UACAGAGGUCUCAAGCGUUGUUCGGAUUCAUUGGCGUAAAGGGUGCGUAGGCGGCCAGACAGGUCCGUUGUGAAAACUCGAGGCUCAACCUCGAGACGCCGAUGGAAACCGUCUGGCUAGAGUCCGGAAGAGGAGAGUGGAAUCCUGGUGUAGCGGUGAAAUGCGCAGAUAUCAGGAAGAACACCCGUGGCUAAGGCGGCUCUCUAGUACGGUACUGACGCUGAGACGCGAAAGCGUGGGGAGCGACAGG
rnacentral:rRNA from 1 species